AGGUGUUGAGUGCCUCUGCUAUUGCCAGUUACUGUUUUAGAUCCUGCAGAUACUGGAAAAGGAGGUGAAUAUUUGAAGAGUUUGUGGAGUCACACAUUCCAAGCCCACAGAGAGCUUCCUUAAGAAAUCUAGCCUAAAUUGUCCACAGGCCUGCAAAAAGUCAUCCACUGUUGCAAAGAGCGUUUCUAGGAUGAAAGAUUAUUUUUUUUUUUCACAAAAAACUCUGCAACAAUAAAAACUGGAGACUUGGCCUGCUAUGAUCUCUGUGAAUCACUUUGGAGUAUAUUUAAGAACUUAUUUGAAGGAUCAAGUGUUUGAUAUCUUUUUAAAUGCUAAAAUUCAGAGCAAAUACAGCAAGAAGCAUAAGUAAAAGUGAGCCCAUUGAGAAUUUUCCUUUUUUUUGUCCCUUCAUCUGUAUGUGGUAGCAGUAACAGCAGCUGCUGCAGCAGAGGUAACUCACCCCAGUGUACACCUACCUGUGUC